CCCAUUUUUAAGAUAAAAAGCAGGUUACUUUCAGUACUUCACUAUUUUACUAUGUCGUACUAGAACAUCAGAGGGUCAUAUUUCACAAUUAACCCAUUUCAAACGUAAUGGAAAUUUCUGCCAUCCUGAGGGGAGAGGGUCCUAGAGUACAAUCUACUGAGACCGACAAUAGUAAAAUGUACUGAGAGAUCGAUGAGAUGGGGGUAUAGGAGGGUUGAAUUCCAAUUUCCUUUGUAUGCCAUGAUUGUGUUUUCAAGGCCGGACCGUGGGUAUAAGUUUAGAUGAAAAUGUUAAUUUGAUGUUUUGUGUGCAUGGCAACUUGAAUAUGUGUGUAUUAUUCAAAUAUAUAAGGUUCGGGCCUCAUUUAAUGUUAACUAAUAAUUUUGGUGUUAAUAAUAUUUGGUGUUUAUAAUAUUUUGAUUUGUAAUAACAGGAAAGAACUCAUGAACACAGCCUAACACUAGUAAACAUGCAAAGGCCUCGCUCACGUUAGUUGAAAGGUCAAAUCUGCAUUUACAAACAAACAUAAAAAAUCUUGAAAAUACUGUGAGCCUUCCUGUUAUCAUUGAAGUAAAAAUAUGAUAAAUACCCCUACUUUUUCAACCUUUAAUAUAUAUAUCAAAUCAUUUUCUAACUUGAAAAGAUGGCCUGAACCUUACAAAAAUAAUAUCCGGUAGACCACCAGACAAUAAAAUAAAAUCUAAUAUGCAGCUUCCUAGUUAUUUGUUAUGUUUCUUUGUCUUCAUUAAAUGUG